CAGAACAUCACGGCAUUUGUUGUGGUAAAUAGUUCAGUGGCAAAGCGCCCGUUCCAUCUGCGGACCUCCAAAUGACCCUGAAUGCAGAGGUACAGAAAAGCUUUCCAUGCUCAUCCAGCCCAUCUCUGGUUACAUGAUAAGAAACGAGGCUGACACAGCAAUAUAAAUGUGACUACUCGCUAAGAAUGACCGCGGGUCAGGCCACAGGAUCCAGGGGAUACCCGGUAACAGAAGCUGUCAUAUUUAUCGCUGGCGUCUUCAGAGCCAGCUUGAGUAGCUGGAGACAGAGCACACAAAAGGACUAUUCAGUGCAGCCCAUGGUCUGAAAUGAAACAGAUGCGCUGUGGAAGUUUGCAAACUCCCCGGCACAGAAGGUUGGCAGAUCUGCGCUCUGUAACCAGGGCCCAUCUUCUUGGCAGAGCGCUCCGCACCCCGGUGCCAGUGGCACUGCUCCUGCUGUGCAGACGAAGGGCGGUCUGGAGGACAAAGCACUCAGCUUGGCAGUUAAAGGCAGGGAGAACUAAACCAAGGCUGAGAGCCCACUCGAGCUUUUAAGCCCUCCCACCAAUUUUGGAUGGUAAGCUGGUAUUUCAGGAAUUAGUACAACCAAAGGCACCUGGUCUGGUUUUACGGACUGGAACGCUCUUGGAAAGCAAUCAGAUACGAUUUGGACAAAAACAAUGGAGGCCCAGACACAGAGGCUGCCCUGGGAGAGUAUACCAGCUGUCUGCUCAGUUUCAAACCUCUAAUCAUGUUCUUGGAGAGAAAGCAAGGGGACCUGUUAGGGGUUGCCGAGCUCCGAGCUCAGGGCCAGGUCCAGGCGGCGGAGCCCGCGAGAGGGAGUCCUCCCAGCACACAGCACCUCGGACUUGAAUUUCUGGCACCCGGACAGCAGUAAAUGAGACCGAGUUUUUGAAUAUUCGCCACGGGCUGAGGACGAGGCGAGGGGAUUAAAAACGGUGGCACAAGCUAAGAUGAAAUAGUGGAAGUGGGGAGAGCAGCGGGAUGAAGGCUGGCAGCGCACAGAUGGGCAGAGCACCUGCUGGCAUGGCACGCAUCGCUCCCAGGGAAUCCAGACUACUGGUACUGCCUCAAAGCAAAUCAAAGCCUCAGACAGAAAUAGCCAAAGCCCUGCCAUGCCCUCCUUCAACUCUUUAAAAACAUCUUUGCCCCUGCUUGCAAACUACACAGGAGCAUUCAACAGCUGGCAGACUCCAAAGCCGCGCCUUCACAGAUCAUUCCAAGAGACCCUGGUGCUCUCCCCAUUGAUUUCCUUAGGCCACGCUUUGUCUCAAUGCAACGUGUGACAUCACCUGGAGAUACCUCACUUUGCCUUCCAUUCACCCCAGUGAGGUGCAGGCAAUUACCUGAGCCCUUUGUUAGGAGUCUAAUCCUCUUGGGCCCUGCAGAAGAUCAGCAGUGUUUCCAAAGGUGAUUCAGCCCACCCCAUCGGCCUCUGUGCUACUAACAUGGGUACACCAAACAUGAAGAGGGGUGAAGUCAUCCAGCUCUGUGCACACACGAUUCCUAUCUCUGUACAGGACCUCCUGUUGCUGCCACCAAGCUCCCAAACCAGCACGCCCCAUACAGAGCCCUGACACCUUGCUCUGCAGCAUGUUCAAUGCCCUGCACUGAUGCCCUGAAUCUGUUCCCUUUCUGCUGAGCCCCUGGCCCUCCCUGUCAUCACCAGGAGAGACGGAUGCUCUCAAAGCAAUAUUCAAUCUGCCAGGAGCCUAAGUUGCCUCCUGCACCUUAUUUCUCUCCGCUGACCCAAAGGAACACUUGGUGGAACAGAACUGUGACCCAGGACACGCAAUCUUGUGCUUCAUGUUACAGCAAAUCUACAGCUAAGAGCUUGCACAUGCAGAGUGAGAGAAUAAGAACUGCUCUGGAGUACUUGCACUAUAAAAUGCUGCACACCUGAGAGAUUUUUGGACUCCAAGUAAGCCACAAAUAUGAAGUGUGAAUGGUUUACACUGGCACCUGGUCUUCUCAGCAGCUCAAUAUGCAUAAACGAUGUUGAAGUUAACCAAAAGAACGAUCAAGGCACCCAGAAGCUAUCAUAGAAGUGAGUCCUGGUUAUGGGAACUGUAAGAAACCAAACCUUUUGAGGAGUGUGAUUCAAAUCCUGACCACCAGAUUAAGGCAUAACUUCUCCUGAAGCCACCCAAGAGACAGGCUUGCACCAAUUGCAGAUCUGGUCCUGUUUGAAACGCUUUCAAAGAAACCAAACUGCAUUCGGUUUCUUAGGAACUGCCCCAGAUCUCACAUUACCAGCAUCCAAAGACAGAAAUCAAAGCACAGCAUACUUCAAGGCCCACAUUCAGCCCUCAGGACGCUACUCACAGAACUCAGAGUCACUCCAGGGAAGAGGCUGACUGAUCACGGCGGUGAUUCUAUGACAUCUGCAAUGCACAGCACUGCUGCUGCCUUUGAACACAACUUCAGCCUCGCCUCAGCGAUCCCUCCUUUGUGGUGGCAUUCCCUUCUCAUCCAGCUGCCAAAAGGAGAUCUGAAAUGAACAUCAUAAACAUUGAUUUUUUUUCCUGCUAAGCAUCCAAAACCAUAUCCGAGAUAAACAAACAAAGCAAAACACUUGGCCCGAACCAUAUCCUGGCUCCAAACAAAUCUGGAUAAGAAAUUUGUGGUUGAGAUCUGUUCAUAUUAAACCCAGUGAAGUAAAUAUAUCUCACAUGUGGCCAUUUCUGUGAUUCCAGAGACCCAAAGUAUUCUGUGGCUUGGUUAACAUCCUUUGCCAUCAUUCUGGAUGUGACUCGUGGGUAGGUCUGUGCCAUAGGGUCAGGGACACCCCGGUUGUGUCUGAGAGCACUAACCCAGACCCAGAGACACCAAGCAGCAUGGAGGAAGAUGUAGGUAUUACACGGGCAGUCUAAUUUCUGGAAUCAGAGCAUCUCUGUGACCCUGUGCCAGAACUAGCUUGGGAUCUAAUCUGCCCCAGGGACAUGCCCCUUAGGCCUGGGCACAUCUCACUUACCUUUAGGAACCUGCCUGAAGUGCCUCAGGUGAGAGACAUCCCCAAGGCACUCAUGCAAUCAACAGCCAGAGGUACCUUUGGAGAUGCCAAUCUCUCGCAUUAGCUACAACGCCUUAGGGCAGUUCAAGCCCAAUGAUCUAAGCCAGCCAGUGCCUCAGAUCCAGCUUUCCUUUGUGCUCUGCUAUCCUGGCAGUUGUUUGGCUCCUGCCCAGAAAUGGAGCACCUUGGGGAUCUCGCAUCACAGCCCAAGCUUUCCAAAUAGCAUUAUCUGCAAAGCCGUAAGGACGUAUGUGGAUCAUCAGUUCUCAUACAGAGCAUCUUUCCUUCCCAUCGAUUUUCCAUCACUGCUCUAACUUCCAGGAAACACAAGGGAUUUCCUGUGGCACGUGGGACUCGAUGGCAGGACACUGCUAAAGCCAAAGACGAUGAGAGGCUGCAGAGCUCCAAAUGUGCUGCACCUUGUGCUCGCAGCUUCCACCGAGUUCAACUUUUGCCUAAAAAGAACUAAUUAACACCGGACAGCCCCGCAGCAAUUCCUCAUCUGCUCUGGAGCAGAGGAGCCCAUCACUAUGGUGAUACAACAUUAAAGGGCUGGGUCCAAAAUGCUUUUCUGGCAGGAAGACGCACGCACCAGGCCAGAAUCGGGGAUGCCAGGCGAGCUGCUUGUAACUCUGGAGGAGAUGCUCCAGGCUUACCCCAGUGUCACUGAGAUUAGCCCUGGCCCGCGGCCUUUGAGGACAGCUCCAUCCCGGCAGGCAGAUGGCUCGCCUUC
ensembl:lncRNA